CUACGGGGUGCUCCAGUGGGGAAUAUUGCACAAUGGGCGAAAGCCUGAUGCAGCAACGCCGCGUGAGGGACGACGGCCUUCGGGUUGUAAACCUCUUUUAGCAGGGAAGAAGCGAGAGUGACGGUACCUGCAGAAAAAGCACCGGCUAACUACGUGCCAGCAGCCGCGGUAAUACGUAGGGUGCAAGCGUUGUCCGGAAUUAUUGGGCGUAAAGAGCUCGUAGGCGGGUUUGUCGCGUCUGCUGUGAAAAUCCGAGGCUCAACCUCGGACCUGCAGUGGGUACGGGCAAACUAGAGUGCGGUAGGGGAGAUUGGAAUUCCUGGUGUAGCGGUGGCAUGCGCAGAUAUCAGGAGGAACACCAAUGGCGAAGGCAGAUCUCUGGGCCGUAACUGACGCUGAGGAGCGAAAGCGUGGGGAGCGAACAGGAUUAGAUACCCCAGUAGUC
rnacentral:rRNA from 1 species